CCAUUUCAGAUCUUUUAUUCUUGUUGGAUCCUGUUUAAAUUUGAAAUUGAACAAAUAUAAUUAUACUUUGAAAAAACUAGUUGAGUUUAGAAAAUAUCCAACCACUUCUAUAUUUUUCUUCUAAAAUAGAAAACCUCUAUUACAGAAGUGGAAUUUGGUUCAAAGUUUAUAAGUUAAUAUUUGAUAAAUUAAUAACCACGCUAAAUUAAAUUUUUUUGCUCUAAAUUGGAUUAGUUUAAAAUAUGACACAAAUUGAUAAAAUAAUAAGGUAAUAUUUUUUUCGUAAAUCCUAUGUAAAUAUACAGUCCUACUGAAAUCAUAAAUUAAUAAUUUUUAUAUAAAGUUUAUAUAAGUAAAAACAAAAUAUUGUAAUUUUUUUUAUAUUCGUAAUAAAAUUCAUCUCUAUUUUCUGAACACUUCAGCAUAUUUUAAUAAUAUUUAGUAAAACUAUAUAUAAACCUACAUUUAAUUCUAUGAAACAUAUUUCGUAUACACCAAAUAGUAUAACCAAAAUGAUAUAAAAACAAAAUUCUAAAAUUUAAUUAAUAUAUAUACAACAAAAUUAACUAUUUUCUUAUUUUAUGAAAAAUAAUUCUAAAAAGAAAUAGUUUGUAAAUUAAUAAAAUACAUAAUCUCAACAUUAUUAUUUAUUUAUUUAUGCAACUGAAUCUCAAUUUUAUUAAUUUAUAGAGUUUUUACUCUUGAUUCAUUAUUGCACCUUUUGCUUUACCCCAGAGAGCACAAUGUAAAGUCAUUAUUACACAUAAUCCUCCGAUUAAGCUAGAAAGCAUCAAAAUAUAUACAAGAUGAUGUAUAUAGAUUGUAGUAAAAUCCCAUUUUGUAAAGCAAGUCACCGCCCAAAAAAACCUAAUGAUCUUUUUUUUGUUGAUGAAGUUUACCCGAAAUGUGAGACAAAAAGACCAGGAAAGAGUGCUAGAGAACUAGAACAAACAAACCAAUAUAAUACAUGUCCUGGUCAUUAAAAGCUCCUAGUAACGAUUUCCCAAUUGGUAGUUGAAUCAAUUCAAUUUGGUCGACAAGCUUAUUAUAUAUAACUCUAAAAUUGUGUUUCUCCUAAUUAAGUUAAAGCCAUAAAAUAUAUAUGGAAAGAUGUUAUUUUAAAUCGACUGUAUAUUGAGGAUUUUGAAUUUUAACCUGAUCUUAAAUACACAACAUGUGAUUACAUGUGUUACCAGCGACUUUACUAAUAGAUAGACUAAAUUAAUCGACUGUAUAUUGAGGAUUUUGAAUUUUAACCUGAUCUUUAAUAUACAACAUGUGAUUACAUGUGUUACCAGAGACUUUACUAAUAGACAGACUAAAUUAAGAUCCAACCUUUAAAAUGCAUGGGAAAAUCAUAUUAAAAUACACAAAAUGUGAAAAGGGGACUUGUCUGAAGCCUUGAUCACUAACAAAAGUUUGCACAUGGUAGCUAGCACUCAACUAGACCCAUAUGUGUAGUCAUAUAUAUGCAUCGUAUGAUUACUCCGUGAAAAUCUAUAUACAUACGGUCUUUUUCAUAAUAAUAUGAUAAUGUUAACUGUAAAACAUAUGGUGAACCGUAGUCCGAUUACAUGCUUAUAUCAUCUCCCCUAAUAUGAUUUCAGGAUAUGGUUGAAUUUGUGUUACAAUAUACAUCAAUAAAUACAAUAUGUUCAAGGCGGGGUGUUAUUAUAACACAAUUUACUAAGUACAAAACGGGCAAACGACCCAAAGUCAACCUUCGGUUGGCUGCCAUUAAGAAGAGAAGAUUCGUAAAUGGAGACGCCCACUUCUCUAAUUUUUGUUUUGUAUUUUAAGGUUCUGCUCUAGAAACGUGUUUGUUUGUUCCGCUUCGUAGUAAAGCCCACCUUCUUUAAGGCUAGAGAGUCUUACUUACUCAGGGGGGUCAAGCUUUUUGACCUUUUCAAUCUUCACCGAUGAGAGUUUUUUACUUUUGUACUUCGAAGAGUACGGCAGAAGCGACUAAUUUAAUCUUUCCCUUGAUUUGAGGGGACGACCAUCUAUCCCAUACUAAAAGCACGAUAUGCAGUGUUUUUAACAUGUCCACGUCGACAGAUUUAAUUGCCCAAUCAAAACAGAUUUAAUGUCCACGUAGGGUACCGGAGGCGUACGUUUGGUUUACUGGGUUCGUCUUUAUCUCGAUUUGGUUAAUACAAGGUGGAUCUCAUAUGAUUUUGUAUGGGCUUCGUUAUGGUUUAUUGAGCUUGGUCUCUUAUCGGUAUAUUAAAAAAAAACAACAACACGAGACGGAAACCCCGAUGCUUUGCGCCUCCAUCUCUUCGUCUUCCCCCUUUGUUCUUCAUCGUAACAGAUCUCUCGAUCCACAUCUCUACAAUCAAUACCCCACGACUUCUCGAUCCAUCAAUUUCUUCUUGAUGAGUUCGUUUCCGUUUGCUCUUUUCCUCCUCCUUUAUAUACUGUUAUUCUCUUUCGAGUGGAAACCAAACCUCGAACUUCUCUCCUUAAUCUAUGGCGAUGAAACCGAAUGGAAAAUCCCCUGUUACCUCCGAUCACGACGAAAAAAUCAUGCUUUACCGCGAUGUCACACCGGGUCCCCACGAAACCCAGCUGCGUUUCCGCUUGAUUCAUUUCUGGGAGGCUUGAAACCCUCUAAAGAAGACGCUUAUUGGCCUUGAGAUGCUUCUAAUAGACGAGCAGGUAUUUGAUUUCACCCAACAUAGUUUUUAGCUUCGUUGUUAUUUAGAUCGUCCUUAGAGUUGUUAUUUAGAUCGUGAUUUAUAUCGAUAAGUUUCUUCGUUCUUUGUUAUUUAGAUCGUCCUUAGAAUUGUUAUUUAGAUCGUGAUUUAUAUCGAUAAGUUUCUUCGUUCUUCCAUAUUAGAUCCUUCUUAAAGUUGUUAUUUAGAUAUUUAGAUCUUGAUUUAUAUCGUUAAUUUUUACACUAACGUUAAUUUUUACAAAAUUAAAACAAAGAUUAGAUUGGUGCUGUAUUUUCUCGCAGAGAUCUGUUAUCCAAGGAUUCAUUCCGCCAAGCCGUAUUGAGAGACAUUUGCCUAAAAUGAAGCCUGGAUCGCUUUACAAGCUCAACAAUUUUUAUGGAUCAAGCAACAAAACCGUUUAUCGGGUUUCUGAUCAUGCUGUGACGGUGUCGUUCUCAUGGAACUCGGAGCUCUCUGUUCUUGAAGACAGUCCCACCCCUUUUGAUGAAGACAGAUUCCGUUUUCAUUCCUUUGAGGAUUUUCAAGCUAGCUGUGAUCGCAAAGGAGACCUCUACGGUAAUCUCUGUUAUCACCCACACCAUCUCUGAGUUGUAUGUGGUAUUUGUCUUCGUUGCUGCUCAGAUAUAAAUCUAGAAUUUUGCUUACAAUGUGCUUAAUAUUUGAUUUUUUUAAAUGGUUGUAUUGUAGUGUAGUAUGGUUAGGAUCUGUUAGCUGCUUCAGUACUAUGCGUGUUUGGUUUUGUUUGCUCAUGAGAAAGUAGAUUACUUAUUGCGCACUCUUCUUACUUUCACGGUUGAUCUCGAAAUUUGGUUAAAAUGUAUUGUAGGUUUGUGAUAAGUAUUCUCUGGAAUCGUUGUCUUUAUCAGUCUCUGCGAUCACUCUUUCAGAACAGAACAUGACAAAUGAGAUUCACUAAUUGUGUUUAUAGCCUUAGGGAGGAUUUUUUUUACAACACUCGGGUUUUGGUUUUUUUUUUUUUUUUUUUGAGGGUUCUAUUGUAGUAUAGUUUGAUUAGGAUGCUUGAGUUCUAUGUGUGUUUCAGUUUUGUCUGGUCAUGAAAUAGUAGAAUGCUAUUGCGUAGUCUUCUUACUUACACGCUUGAUGAACAAUGGUAUAGAUGUUGUUGGGCACAUGAAGGUGGUUAAUGGACAGUGUCUCAUUGGGACACCAGUUCUUGAUGAAGUGGAGAUAGCUAGGGCGAGGCAUGUGUUGGUUCAUGUGCAGUCAUACGAGUAAGUUUUUUAUUAUUUCUUAAACACUUUAUCUCUCUACUUAUAUUAACCAUUCAGUAAAAUAUUUUGCAGUGGGCCUGUGAUGAAGCUCUACUUUUGGGACCAGGCUGCAAGAGACUUCUGCAAAAAAUUCAAAUCAUACGAAGGCACCCCCACCGUGUUAUUGGUCACGACCGUUAACACUAAGAGUCUCGGAGGUUCAAUUUCUAUCUUUAGAAAACUUUCUUAUAAUUAGAUAUCUACUCUUUUUGGUCUUUAAAUGGGUGUUGCUUAAUACAACAUGUACUCUUGCACUGACUUCAAUGUCGUCCUCACGUGUCUUUAUGGACUACGAUGUCCAACCUACGAUCGACUACUUUGGCUGGUAAAUCUAUAUAUAUUUUCCCUUUUAUAUUUAAUCUUUCGCUGCCUCACCCCAUAUCAAUGAUUGAAUGGAUCAAAAUGCUACUACUCUCUCUCAGGUUGGGUUCUAAACCACAGAGUGCUGAGCUGGUUAAUGCAGAAGUGGUUACUAAAAGGGAGACACUGACUAUAGGAGAAAUAUUCUCCUACAUCAAGCAGGGAUCUAAUAAGGUACGACUUGGUCUAAUUAUUUCUUAGUCAUUUAUCAAAAACUUUGAGUCUUAUAUAGCUUUGCUGUCCAGGAGGCUUUUUUUUAGUGCACGGCUACGAUUGAUGAUGUGGUCCAUGGUUCAACCUGGUAUUACAUAUCAUGCAGUGGUUGCCAUACUAAGGCUACGAAAGGCCCAACUUCUUUGAUGUGUUCAAAAUGUGGGAAAGUCAACAUAUCAGGAGUACCACGGUAUUUACUCUAUACUCACUUCUCAAUUCUCAGUAGCAAUUUGAAUGGUAUUAGCUUCUAAUUUCUUCAUGGCAGGUACCGUGCACAGAUAUCUGUCUAUGACAACAGUGAGCAAGCUGUUUUUGUACUGCUUGGUGAUGCUGGUUUUCAGUUAACUGGGAAGCAAGCAGCCGAGUUAGUCAGCAGCUAUUUUGAGGUAAGUUUCUUCAGUCGGAACUGUUAGUAUUGGUACUCUCAAUAUUGGUCUUCAAGUUGCAAUUGAAUAUUGGUAAUCUUGAAUGUCAGGCUAAUGGAGACCAAGGAGUUACCCAAGAGGUGCCUUUCCCGGAAGCUUUAAUCAGCACUAUUGGUCAGAAACAUAACUUUUGUGUGAAAGUUACAAAGCACAACUUAGAUGGGAAGUCUCGAUCUUUAACUGUGACCAAGAUUCUCCCUCUGGACACUCCACCAGUCACAGAAUCUUCGGGAGAAAACUACAAUCCGGCAACUUCGGAGGAGACAUUUGAGACUGGAACGAACGUGUGUGAAGCUUCCAAAAUCAGUGUGGAUUCGGCAGAGGGAAGUAAGAGAAAUGGUGACAUUGAUGAGAUGGGCAAAGCAAAACGCCUCAAGCGUGGGGUGUAGAUCUUUCGUGUGUCCUCUUAUGUCUUGCAGGGGAUUACAGCUAAAGUUUUUUUUUUCCAGUCUAUUAUUGACUCAUGAUUUCUUUCAGUUUUUCUAAAGUUUUUCAUAUACUCUGAACGCUUAUGUUUUGAUAAUCAUUAUUCUACUUCUUAAGGCUUAUAACUCUGUUUCUUUAGGUGUUUUGAAAUCUAGCUUUGUGACAAACAGGUCAAUCAUUUCUGUAUUUUAAAAUCAUUCUUCACGAACUGUGGAUGUUCUUUGAAAAAUGCAUGUAAUGAAAGCAACAACAUUUAAGGAAAAAAAGGAGGUUUUCAAGUACAUAUUUUAUUUUAGAAAAAACGUGUUUUCAAUCAACAUAAUGUAACGACCCGGUUUUCUCUAAACCGGUAUUGGGAUUGGGUUGAUUAUUUAAUUAGACUAAACCAAAAUAAUUACAAAACCAAAGCAAUAUAUAUACUUGUAUGCAUCUCCUUCUUCAUGUUAACCUAGCCGUCAUCUUUACAAAUGAGAGACCACCAUCGUUGUACCAUCUCUUCCCGCACCACCUCUCUAUCUCUCAUCCUUCUCUCACUCCCGUAACCUUGAAAAGAGCCUCGUCGUUGCCGUCAUCAAUACUCACCACAAGAGACGCCACCACAACAACCGGAGCAAUCGUUCACAGUUCACUGGAUCCAUCACCAUUCUUUAUCACGUGUUGUUAAUGUGAACAUAUCCGAUAUGUGGAGAAGAGACGAACAAAACGGAGCCACCGUCCACCAUGGAUCACCACCACGAGUCUUACUCCACCAGAGAUGAGACGUUGUGUUUUCAGAGGCCAUCACCGCAAACCGUUUACGUUAUGUACCAAGUCCGAGAAGUGUGGAACGUGAGCAAAGCUGGACCACCGCGGCUCACCACCACCGGCUCCGAUCUAUACCGCGUUAGCCGUGAGCCAUUGGAGAAACAAGGCAUGUCAACCAACCACCAUCAUCAACCGUGAUCCAAGCCGUAUUAUCUAAGUGACUUCCUCCUUUGUUCCUUGUGAUACAAGAAACGUAUAUAGCACAAUCAUAAACGUGUCCUUGCAUGUGUUUAUGUGUAGUGAAUCUUAUGCCAACCUGCAGUUACUUGCCCAUCAUUUUAAAUAAGGCGUAAGAAGGUUUAUGGAACACGUUUUAUUCAACACCAUGAUUAGGAAGGAAUCUUUUAAAGUGAUGUUAGGCGAGAUCGUUCCCGAGCAUUUCAUGAGCUAUAUUCAAUAUUGGCUCAGGUGAGACUGACGAGUAUAUGAUAUUUGGAUGGAUUGGUGCUACUGGGCUUUUUAUUCGGAUUUUUAUUUGGGCUUAGGGUGAGUGGAGUCGUGUAUAUGGGCUAUUGUGUUAUGAGAUAUUGUUGGUGGCACGCUGUUCUCCAGAUAGGAGCAAAAUAAGAAAAUAGAAGUACGAAGCAUCCCCUUAAGCUGUUGCACGGAGAACCAAGCUUUCUAUUUCCAUUUUGAAAAAAAUACUGAAAUUACCAUUGGAAGUGUCUACCAAGCUUUAAUCAACGCUAGACUCCAACCAACUGUGAAAGGAAAUAUAAAAGGAAUGGAGCACCCACCUCCUCCACCCCCUUCGCAAACUGCAGGUAAACAAAUCUUUGCCCUUUUUUUUUUUAGUUAAAACUUAUGUAUUAUCCCAUACAAAUAUUUAAUAACCCGAUCACAUAAUGUCUAUAUGUUGUUUUGAGUUAUUCUUUAUGUUGUAUCAAUAUAUUUAGUUAUACAGUUGGCCAUCCACCUAAGAAAAGCACUAUCAAUAUUUAGCUCUCAUCAGAAAGUAUUAUAUAUUCACUUAGAAUUUAAUCCAAGUAUAAACUUAGGGAUAAUAUAAAAAGGUUGAAUCUUGGUGGGAUGGGGUGUAGUGCUGGCCUUAUAGCCAUGGACGUCGCUAGAUGUAUUAUGUGAAUAUUGUGUUAUAGAUUACUUUUAUGGUCUUCUUUUUAUUCCAUAAAACUAUUACUGUUAUUAAUUAAAUAUGUUUACUGAUUAUUUAAAUAGUAAAAUAAAAGUUGAUUAUUUAGAAACCAAAAUAUCGCCAUAUUAUAAUUAAAUUUAAAGCCAA